rnacentral:tRNA from 1 species
UUUAAUUAUAUUUCUAGGGUGUAAAUUGCACAUUAGAUUUUCAUUCUAAAGGUAUAACAGGAGUUAUUAGAAAUA